ACUUUUUUAGUAUAAUCAUUACAUUUGACUUCCAAUCAGAAAAUCUAAAUUUUUAGAAAGAGUA
rnacentral:tRNA from 1 species